GAUGAACGCUGGCGGCGUGCCUAAUACAUGCAAGUCGAGCGAACAGACGAGGAGCUUGCUCCUCUGACGUUAGCGGCGGACGGGUGAGUAACACGUGGAUAACCUACCUAUAAGACUGGGAUAACUUCGGGAAACCGGAGCUAAUACCGGAUAAUAUAUUGAACCGGAUGGUUCAAUAGUGAAAGACGGUUUUGCUGUCACUUAUAGAUGGAUCAGCGCAGCAUUAGCUAGUUGGUAAGGUAACGGCUUACCAAGGCAACGAUGCGUAGCCGACCUGAGAGGGUGAUCGGCCACACUUGAACUGGGACACGGUCCAGACUCCUACGUGAGGCAGCAGUAGGGAAUCUUCCGCAAUGAGCGGAAGCCUGACGGAGCAACGCCGCGUGAGUGAUGAAGGUCUUCGGAUCGUAAAACUCUGUUAUUAGGGAAGAACAAAUGUGUAAGUAACGAUGCACGUCUUGACGGUACCGAAGCAGAAAGCCACGGCUAACUACGU
rnacentral:rRNA from 1 species